UGGGGGAUAUUGUACAAUGGGCGAAAGCCUGAUGCAGCGACGCCGCGUGGGGGAUGAAGGCUUUCGGGUUGUAAACCUCUUUCGCUAUCGAACAAGGCCCGCUUAGGGUGGGUUGAGGGUAGGUGGAGAAGAAGCGCCGGCUAACUACGUGCCAGCAGCCGCGGUAAUACGUAGGGCGCGAGCGUUGUCCGGAAUUAUUGGGCGUAAAGGGCUUGUAGGCGGCUUGUUGCGCCUGCUGUGAAAACGCGGGGCUUAACUUCGCGCGUGCAGUGGGUACGGGCAGGCUUGAGUGUGGUAGGGGUGACUGGAAUUCCAGGUGUAGCGGUGGAAUGCGCAGAUAUCUGGAGGAACACCGAUGGCGAAGGCAGGUCACUGGGCCAUUACUGACGCUGAGGAGCGAAAGCAUGGGUAGCGAACAGG
rnacentral:rRNA from 2 species